CCCUAGGUUAUAGGUGAAUCUGCCCUAGGGUGGAGGGUUGGAGAGGGGUUAGGUUUCCACCGGUAGAGGGGGCAUUCUCUCCACCCGUAGCACCUUCCUCUCUCCCUUAUUCAUAUGGUCUCUCCCGGUGCCCCCAGCUGGUGCUCUGCAGUAGGUUACACCAAACGACCCUGGUCAUUCCAGAUGAUUAUGGAUACGAACCAGGAUAUUUGAACAUUUUCAUAGGCCCCUUUUCACUGAGUCUAUGAUUCUAGGCUCCAAGUCUCAUGGGACAUGAUUUAGUGUGGGCCAUGGGACAAACUGGAACCGGAGAAAUAGCCCUGGAUUUUCUUUACAGGGAACCGUCCUACAACAUGCCGCCGUCGCGGUCGCUGCACCAGUAUCUCUUGGGAACGAAUCACAGAGACGCACCACCGCAGUGAUCCACAGCUGACCGUUCACUGAGCGCCAAAGAACCAGGCUGAAUUAUGAGGUGCCUGCGUAUUUGUGCAUGUAUGUGUGUGUGUGUUUUUCUGAGAUAGGGUCCAAUCAAUGGUGAGUGGAGCCCCAGAGUCGUGAGAGCCAGACAAACUCCCAGACGCAUGCAUGAAUUCCAUGGACACACAACAAGGGCCACGGAGGCAGAGGAAGACCACGGUGAUGGGAGGAAGGCUAUAGGGGACGAAGACUGUUGGUGAUGACAAAUUAUGCUGACGAAGACGAUGGGGAGGAAGAACAUGGGGAUGAGGACUAUGAUGAUGAGGAUUCUGGUGAUCAAGACGAGGACACAGUGACCUUCCAGAUCAAUGGAGUCCUAACGCUUGGAUAGUUUGGUGUUAAUGUUUGGAAUAAUGUAAAGCACCAUAUGUCACUCCUUUCAAAUUACAUUUAUAAUGUGUCUUUUAAUUUGGCAUCUCUUGAAGCACAAGACUUUGAAGACUUAUACAUAAUAGCCUACAUAUAUAAUAUCUUAUAUUUAUAUAUACAGAUAUACAGUAGAUAUAGAAACCUAUAUAUUUAUAGAUAAAAUACACAUAAACCUGAUUACACUCAACACAUUUCACAUCCGUAAGUCGUCCGUAACGCCUCCCAACACGCCCACGACGGAACAUACAUCCAUGGAUCAGCAAAUACUUCAUUCAUACAUCACAACACAACUGUGUAUGUUGUGUUGUGUGCUGUUGAACAAGAUGAAUCGCGUGUACUUUGCCCCCUGGUUGUGUGUGCUUGUGCGGCAUUGAAGUGGUGCGCAGAGGGAAGCCUUCGCCCCGAGGGCCCUCACUGGCCAGAACAAAAGCGCGCAGCGUGCACGUGGUCGGCCCGUCCAUUAGGAUGC
ensembl:lncRNA